rnacentral:lncRNA from 1 species
AGCUAUAUACCCAUGACAGAGAAGUAAGGUAGUCCACUUUGUCUAUACAGAUCACUAGGAAAUCUUUACCUAACAUCUGUUGCCGCCCCAGUAAUUUUAGCCAUCCGAUCCUAUCCCUAUGUUGUACUAAUAAACACCGUCGUCAAAGGUCCAACGAUUUCGAUGUCGGCAAAGGCAUGGGCAGGUCACCACCAGGCCGGCAAGGAAACUACGAGGAAAUGGCCUGGCAGAAACUUGAUCACAGAGUCGCUUGCCUCUUGAAUAGUAGUAAAAUUGGAAGUUCAAAGAUCAGCUUAAAAAUAAAAGUGGUAAUGAAAGCGAACUCUUUUUGGACCAAUUAAGAUUCAGAUCGACACAAAAAAGAAGGCUAACCUUAAGUAUAAACUCG